CCUAGUCUAUAUAAUAAUAGGACAGUUUUCUCUCCAUCUAGGCUGUUCACGUCAGCAAGCGUUUUAAAUUUAUGGAUUCCACCUUCGAAUUGGGUUUGGUUAUUACGUUUGGGUUUGAUUAUUAAAUGCAUAUGAGUUUGGUCGAAUUUCCAUUAAUUGUUAACGUGUUUUUAAUCUCCAAACCCAUUGUAGCCCAAACAAAACAAAAUUCUGUGUUUAAGGUUCAAGUCAAUUAGGUUUGGAGUCAUCUCCAUAUUUGACGAGUCAACAUAUCUCUCUUAGCCGUAAAAAAAACACCAAAACUGAUUCUCAGAACUUUUGACCUCCCCUAUAUCUUCAUGUCCGUCUCUUCCUUACCUUCCGUGCAAUGUUUCUGUAACCUAUACAAUGAAUCUUCAGUUUACAUUUAACUCAUUAACUCCAACAAACUCUCUGUCUCCCUCCUUUUACAAUCAAAGCUUCGUGCGUUUUUAAACCGAAAACAUCUCAUAUCCUAUAAAUAGGAGAGGGUUGAGAGUGGAAUCAAGCAUCACCAACACGCUUUCUCAGCUUAUUUUGUCUCGAAACCCUAGAAUCCUCCUAAGAAAAUGACUUCAUGUUGCCCAAUUAACAAAGAAAAACGGAGAAUCAAGAAAAAACAUAGAAAAAUGGAGAAUUUCACUUGAUCAGUGAUGGCCUGUUAUUUGACACUUAGAGUGGCAGCAUCAACCAAGCUCCAGUCGUGAAUAUGGAAGAUGGACAAGCAACAGAAUCUGCCACCAACAUGGGUGAUGCGCAAAAGAUUUCACUGGGAGUUGGUGAAGCCAAGUCUGCCAGGUCCUGCAGCCGACGAGAACAAACGCAAACGCCCUUGUGUGAGUGAUUUCCGCAAGGCCAUCUAACCGUCAACCCCAUUUAGCUUUCAUCUCCUUUCAAUUUUCAAUUUUCAUAUGUUUUCUCUAUUUUGAAAUUUGGUUUUUCCUUUGAUUUGCUACAAACUACUUCUUACUGGUGUAAGAAUUACUAUGACUUUCAAUAAUAAAGGAACAAGUGCGUGUCUUUGCUUA